UACGGGAGGCAGCAGUGGGGAAUAUUGCACAAUGGGCGCAAGCCUGAUGCAGCCAUGCCGCGUGUAUGAAGAAGGCCUUCGGGUUGUAAAGUACUUUCAGUCGUGAGGAAGGUGUUAAGGUUAAUAACCUUAGCAAUUGACGUUAGCGACAGAAGAAGCACCGGCUAACUCCGUGCCAGCAGCCGCGGUAAUACGGAGGGUGCGAGCGUUAAUCGGAAUUACUGGGCGUAAAGGGCACGCAGGCGGUUAAUAAGUUGGAUGUGAAUCCCCGGGCUUAACCUGGGAAUGGCAUUCAAGACUGGUUAGCUAGAGUCUUGUAGAGGGGGUAGAAUUCCAUGUGUAGCGGUGAAAUGCGUAGAGAUGUGGAGGAAUACCGGUGGCGAAGGCGGCCCCUGGACAAAGACUGACGCUCAUGUGCGAAAGCGUGGGGAGCAAACAGGAUUAGAUACC
rnacentral:rRNA from 1 species